rnacentral:tRNA from 1 species
GCCGAAGUGGCGGAACUGGCAGACGCGCUAGGUUCAGGGUCUAGUAGUCGAAAGACUGUGCGGGUUCAACUCCCGCCUUCGGCACCA